AGAUGGCCGAACCAGAGAGUGAGCAUGCGAGAGAAGGCUUUGCCGAGAGCUGAUCGUGAGAGAGCUUGAGAGCGAGAUCGAGAGACGGCCGAGUUCGGCCAUUGAAGAAGCAGCUUCGGGCUGCUGUUGAAAUGGCUAAGGCAAAGGCAGCCAUGGAAGCAGCCAAUGAAGAAGCUCGGUAGCAGCGAAGCGGCCGAAUGCUGGUGGCGGAGCAGCUGCGGUGGAAGCCGACCGGCAGUGGAGCACGCAGAGGCGGCGUCGGCUUGAGGCGAUGACGGCCGGAGGUGCGGCUCUGGCUGGUUGUCGCGGCCAUGGCCCCCGCGAGGGGAGGUCGGGCAGCAACGCCGCUGCUAUGCGCAGUGUGGCCGGAGACAGGCGCGGCGGUAGGCGGUAGAUGGAGGUGAGCAUCGACGGCGGCUGGGGGCCAGCGGCGGUGGCCGGGUGCUGGAGCCGCAGGCGCUGUGCGCGCCAAGGAAGAAGAUGAACAGUGCCGCGGGAGGUGAAGAAGAAAGAAGGAAAAGAGAAAAAGAAAAAGAAAAAUGGAAAAGAAAAGAAAAAUAAAAGAAAAGAAAUAAAAAGAAAAUAUGGAAAAUGGGAAAAAUAGCUGAAAAAUCCAGAAAAAUUGGGGAAAAGUUCUGGAAAUUAAAUUGGGAUUUGUGGAGCGUGUUGGAAGCUCAGAAAUGAGAUUUUGGGCGCAAAUGGCAGCUCGGGAGGCAAUGCCAAUGUGGAUGAUUAAUCGAUUUUCUCUUCCAAAUUAACUGAGGGUCAACCAAGGAGGCGAUGAUCCUAGAAGAGCUCGGAGUUCGGGCUAGAGUUCGUGCCGAGGCAGAGUUGAAGCUUCGAGCCAGAUGAUGCAAGUCCAGAUGCAAGCAGGGAUGGCGCCGGGAGGCCGUUGUGGCAACUAGCUGAGUUGCCCGAGUUAUGUAUUUUUAAUAUUGCUUGUAUGUAACCAGGGGGCGUGGUGUGUGUAUACCCUUGUGAGUAAAUGUCUGUGUUAUUGAGCUUAAAUGUAUUUAAUUGUGUAAUCAUCAUAGUGUGAUAGAUGAUUGUGAGAUUGCUGGUUGAAUAUGGCAUAGUCGGUAAAGCCAAGAUUCGGACCGAGUCAAGAUUAGCAAGGUAUGUUCUCAUAAAUCCCCAAUACUCAGCGAAGUGUUUGUAUGCUAGCCUUGUGCCUAGGUCACCUCUGGCUUGCUAUGGGGUGAGCUGAAGAGAGGUGAAGCUCACUCGGGUUUCGGGUCUUGGUCCGCUGGAUUUUUUCUUAUUUGAGUUGGGACCAAUUCCUGAGUAGAGCGAAGGGAAGGACGAAGCCUAGUUCCCACCUAGGGCGUUUCCUGUUGAAACAUAGUCCAACCCUUCAGUUGUGAUUGUCGGGUGAGUAAUCCGGUCGAUUAUUUACCGGUGGCGCCUGUAAGUGGGGGCGGGGCGUUACAGUGGGCCUUGACAACAUUGAUUAUUAUGCUCCCACCAAAUAAAAUAAACCUUUGCCUACAAAACAAGCUGAUUUGCCGCCUGCCAAAGAUCUUUACCAUGCCAAGGCUAUCCAAAUUUCUUAAAAUGACGAAAAAAAAGAUAACACUUGACGAGAAUACAAACAGUCAAAGAAUAAAUGACUAUGAUGCUCUGCAGCCUCUAUACAAAGAUAACAUCUAUUUAGGAAAGGAAAAAAAGGUUAAGACAGUCAAGAGUAGUGAGUUGCUCUUGAAUCGCCAACCAACGGAUAAAUGCAUAAGCAAGAAUCCUAGAACUAUGUCAAACCAAAUGAUGCGAACAUGAGGACGUUGCACAGAUAAACACUAAUAGGCAUAACGAACAGUAAAAAUCCCAUCAGAAGCCAACAGCCAACUUAACUCAUCACGAUGCCCAACCCUAGGAGAACUAGGCAUAUGUUCUUAAAUAAGACCCAAAGAUGGUGAUGAAGUUAUAUCAGGCCAACUCCAAGAACCAUCCACAAUGAUAUUUGAAACAUGAGACGAAAUUGAAAUACCCAACUGCCAAGGCAAUUGGUGAGAAAAUCAAUCAACUAUCACCCUUAAAAGAUACCAUUGAUCAUGCCACAAAAAGUUGUUAGACCAUCACCAAUUUACCAGCCAAAAAUGAAACACAUACCACACCACAAAUCAAGAAUAACUUUCUCCAGUAUUGAGGACAUUGUUUUAACAUAGCCUUUGGGGGACGCCUUCAGAAAGGUAGCUCCCCCAAAGGUGGUACAACUUCUUGGGAGGAUUUCCACCCAGAAGAAUCUUCAGGGCACCCUAAAGACCUAGCUGAGGACCUUUCGAGGACUCGCUUCCUCGAAGGCUUAGCCUGCACUCUCCAAUAACCUUUUGGAAGGGUCAACUCUCGGAGGCCUUCUCCUAUAGCCUAACCAAGGUUGUUCCUCAAUAACUUGGCAUACCUCUUUUCGACCCUUCUUUCUCCAAAGACUAGUCUUCGAAAGGGUCUCUUCUAGCCUUUCGAUCCUACCCCAAGACACCCUGAAGGCCCGUGCACCCUUACCCAAAGCGUCCUAUCAUGUGUCUCCGUGCAUGUGUGCCACGUGUCCUAGCGUGCCAUGCAUCCCAGUUAUCUAACGGGUAUAAAUACCCCUAGGUCCCACACCUUUGGAACUUAUAUUCAAAUCCUAAAGCCUUAGCCAAAACUCUUACACGCCUACAUAACACCUCUUUUGAAGACCUCAUUCGCACAUCAUAUUACAUCCGCAUCAUCCUUUCGGCAUAAUGGCAGCACCUAACUUAGGCAUUGAAGGCCUUACAUGGGAGAUAUCCUCAUUUACCUUCUUAUUGUCUCAUGCCUUGUAGAUUCGAAGGCCCAUCAUCUCUCCCAGACACCAGAGACUCUUCUGAAAUGAUUUCUAGAGCUACCUAGAAUCUUCUCCAAGAGACCCACACAACUAUCCCGAAGCCUUUUGGGUCUACCAUCCCCUGAAAACAUUUCAAGUCUUUUCAGCUCCAAAUACCCUUCAGGUGGCCUUUCCUCAGGUGAUCUCCUCAAGGUGACUUCUUGGGGUAUUCCUCCUACUCUCCUAGAUAGUAGAUCAAGCCUUGUCUUGUGCAUUUUCUCGCUUUGUUGGGUGGUAGAUCGAGCCAUCCCAUUAGUCGCUAUCAACUCUUUGGAUAAAAUGCGAGAUAAAGGGCUUGAAUGAUUUUCCAUUUUAAAAGAGAUUUAGCUAUAAAAGAAUUUAAAGUUUGUCAAUUUGAUUAUCUUGAAAAAUCCAUUUAAUUCCAGUCUUGAAUUAAAGGUACCUCUCACUAAUUUUUUCGAACCCACACUUUGUAAGGUGGUAAACAUGAAUCCCGUUAGAAGAUUCGUAGUGGGUGAUCAAACACAUUCAAUGUGGAGCUCAACCUUAGGCCCCUAUUCCACCUAAUUCCCAACACUUUGGUGGUUUCUAGGACGGUGACACGGUUAGAUUCCACCCACCGCCCCAACCAGCAGUCCACUUGCAAUGUCUACAAUCUCAACACUUUGGUGGUAUGUUGGCCAUAUCCGUGUGGGGUAACUGACAACAUCCAAUGCUUAAUAUGAAAAUUAAUCAACUCUCAAGAAAUGUACCCUCUUAUCUUUGGUAGCCAGGGAACACUCAAUCAAGCAAAGAUAUCCUAUGGUAGUGGAGGGUCACGAUGAAUUCAAUUCACUAUUUACAUCUAAUAUUAUUUGUACAAUUGGGAGGAGUUUUCGAUUUUUAAUUUAAGAUCUCACUUUGCAUACGUAUUAAGUUUUAUUCAAUGUAUCCAAUACAUAAUAAAACAAAAUGCAUACAUGCAUUACUGGAUGAUCAUGGGCUUUUAAGCACUUAAUUAAACCUGAGCCUCAAUAUUUAAUUAAAGAGGCUUCCAAGAGACAUUCAACCAUAAAUUUUACUGCUGCCAACAAAUGAGGUUGACUUGCUCCCUCGAGCCAUCAUCCAUUGAUAUCUCAGUGUCUUCAUCAACAUUA